rnacentral:rRNA from 1 species
UACGUAGGUGGCGAGCGUUGUCCGGAUUUACUGGGCGUAAAGGGAGCGUAGGCGGACUUUUAAGUGAGAUGUGAAAUACUCGGGCUCAACUUGAGUGCUGCAUUUCAAACUGGAAGUCUAGAGUGCAGGAGAGGGCGGUGGAACUCCAUGUGUAGCGGUAAAAUGCGUAGAUAUAUGGAGGAACACCGGUGGCGAAAGCGGCUCUCUGGCCUGUAACUGACACUGAGGCUCGAAAGCGUGGGGAGCAAACAGG